AUCUGUUUGGAGUUGUGGUUAGUGCGCUCGGCUGGGGAUCCGGGCGACGCGGGUUCGAUUCCCCUACCAGAUG
rnacentral:tRNA from 1 species